rnacentral:lncRNA from 1 species
AUGGGCUGACUCCGUAUUCGAAGCAGUAGAGCGAGCCGUUCUUGAGGAAACAGUCCAAACAAGAAAGGACCACUCCGCUGUUUGGUUGUCUGAAACCACAAUCUGGAAACGUUGGGCAGAUGUCUUCAGUGGAAGAAGAAGCUGAGGUGAAUGACUCCAUGGGAGAAGAAGAAGAUGAAGAAUUAAGGUUGUGCUCAGGUCUGAAAUGAACAACCUUGGAUCCACCGACAAAGAUUCCUGCAAUAAAUGUUUCCUCUCAACCAAUUAAAUUAAAGCUCAACAGAGUUCGAUGGCGUGUCUAAAACAGUAUCCAAUCCAAUCAUCAACAGAGGAAUAUACAGAUAAAGUCAAUGAGAUUUCACACUAAGUAGAGAUUAAACAAAGUCAAAAGCUUUUUCUUUUAUAAGAUCUAUCUAUAGAUUAAAGUCAACAACUUUCUACAGUUCCAGAAACAGAGAAGAAAAAGAAACAAACUUUGGGAAGUUACCGUGGUGAGAAUAAGCGAAGACUGCUCUGUAAGUGUAGAUGUGAUCUCCUGCCUUUAGCUCCUCUCUCUCCAUCUUGUUCGUUAGCAAACCCAUUCUUCCUUCUUCUUCUCUCUCUCUCUCGAUACACAAAGCUUUUCCCUUUUGAUUUUCUGGAAAAUGCAGCAAACGUUGUUACAAGUGUGAGCUCUGACGGUGGGAUCUGACGUCAGCUAGAUAGCUAAAGGCAUAUGAUUGGGUGAACGAACUGGAGCGGGUGAGCUAAUUCGUUACGGAAUCUUCUAACGGCGUUAUCUCCAAAUCCCAAAUGCGACCAACGAGGUCCAAAGUCGCUGAUUUUCCGGGGUCCCUUUUUACCUUGAUUACAGGCGAGGGUAAUAUAGUAUUUUCACCGUGCAUGCCGUUGGUGAACAAAACAAAGAAAAGAAUGACUUGGUGGAGUAGGUCAAGCAACGGACGUUUGUUUACAUUUCCUUUAUUCUUUCCAAAGUUUCAGUAAAACAAAAUUACAAAGGCAAAGAUCACACACUAUUAGUAUAUUAGAGAGAGAUACUCCAAUUAUAAACUUUGACAUCAAACUCUGGAUGCUCUUCCAAUCUCUGCCUCAACUCCUUAGCCUUCUCUGCGUCCUUAGCCAAUAUAAGCGAGAAUCCUCCACCCCCUGCACCCACAAGCUUGAAACCUGAGCUAUAAGGCUGCGAAAACGCAAAUAGCCUGUCCACAAACUCAUUGCUGCAAUACGGAUCAAGCUCUUGAUGCAAUCUCCAAGCCUCUGACAUUAUCUCCCCAAGCUCAUCCACUUCACAGUUCAUCAACGCUUCUCUCCCGGCUUUCGCCAGCUCGGUCAAACGCUUUAUGCUUGAUAUCAAGAGGUUAUCUCUUUGUAGAUACCUUGUUACAACCUUGUGUAGGACUUGGUGAGCUAGCCUGACCUGUUUUACAAAAAAAAAAUGCAUCAAGACAAAAUUCAAGACUCUAGAAGGGAAACAACCAUCCAACAGUCCAACCUAAGAGCAGACCAGCACCAAUGAGACUAAACCCCAACGCAAAAGCCAUCAUAUAUCUCCCAAUCUCCCCCAUUUUCUUAUUCUUCUUCUUCUUCCCUCUUUGCUUCCUCUUCUUCAGAUUCAUUCCUUCGAUCUGCUCUUGUUCUCCCACCUCCUCCGUAUGCAGAUAGAGAGCUUCCAUUUCAAGAAGCUUUAUCCAUUGCUUGUAAGCUAAAAUCUGACUCGCUUGCCUCAUCAAGACAGUAAUCAAACGGUCUUUCUCAGCGCAAGCUUCUUUGGCAGCCUCCUCUGCUUCUCUUGCUCUGGUUUGAGAAUGCCUUAGCGCUUCUAAAAGCUGAGCUUUGCUUAUAAGAUCAUCGCUCUGAGGAGAAGACUUUGGACUCGUGUUCUUGCUAUCUGUGCUAUUACUGCUGCUCUCAAACCGAUCGCUCCAAGCACCUUGUUUCCAUGGUGAUUUAAUAACUGCUGUCUGAAACCCUUUUUCACCAUUAGUAGUGCAUUGAAUGCUCUUGUGGAGCUUCUGGGGCGGAGGAAGAUCACAGUUUUGAAUAUGAUGAUCAACGGAUCUAGUGGACACCAAGAGAGCUAGCUCAUCUUGAUCCGUAGCGCUUCUCCACCACGGCGUUGUAGCUGUAUCUUUCUUGCUAAUAAAGCUAUACUCUUCUUCGUCUUUUGCUUCUUUACUUACCCCGGUUAAGUCGACGAAUUGAUGCAAUUUGGUAUCUUGGAGGAAGGAGUUUGCAAUCUCCUCAUCAAAACCAGAUGAUCCUCCCUUAAGCCACCAUUUGGUAUCAGAAGAGAAAUCAGAGGAAUCUCCAAAACUUGUAGAAGAAAAGCUGUUUUUGCCAGAAGAAGAAGAAGAAGAAUGUUGUUGUUGUUGUUGGUGGCAGCAACAAGCUAACCUCGGAGGCAUUGUAGCAUCUUCAUGAACAAGAAAGCAACGGCUUGCUCUUCUUUGCCAGAGUGCUCUUACUUCAGCUGCUCCCAUUUUAUCACAUCAAUGUUAAGACUCCCUGAAAAAUUAAAGAGAGGAUUAAAUGGCAAAAUCAAAAGAUAAAAAUAUUCGAUUUUAUGAAUUAAAAAAAACAAAACUUGUUCUCUCUUCUUACCAUAGAUCGAUUGCUUCUAAGCAAAUGAUUAAUCCAAUAUACAAGCGAGAACUUUAAUUAAGCAACAUAACACGACGCAAGUCUUGCUGCGAUCGAUCAUUCAAGCAUCUUCACAAAAAAAAAAUAUAUAUUAAACAGUCAAUGAUCACUAUUUCAAUCUCAGCCUAAAAAUCAUAAUUGAAUUUCUGAAACAGAUCCACGAGGCAUAAGAAUAUAAAUCUAAUCACCAAAAUCAACUUGUUAGAGCACAAAUGAAAUUUUACUAACUUUGUCAGAAAAUUUUAAUAUCAGAAGGGAAAGCCGUACGAUGGAACCAUCUCUGGCUCGAGAGAAAAACAAUCAGAUCGAACAAAAACGAUCGAUGUGAGUAAAUUUUAUGUAAAUCAGACACGAAAACAGAAACAGAGAGGAGAAAGAGAUUUGUGCACAAAGAGAUCAUUAAGAAAAAAGCAGAGUAAAGAUACCAUUUUAAUUAAUUCGAAGAUUCCACUGAAUCUCUCUCUAUUAAAAUGAUCUUCCAACCGAAGCUUUUGGCUUUUCUGCUUCUUUCUUCCUUCGCACUCUGUCCCCCAUUUUUGAUUCGAACCCAUUUUCACAGUUUCGUAAAGUUUCUUUGAGUUCCAAAACGACACAGUUUCAAUCACUUGUUGGCUUGGUAAGCCGCUGGAUUGACUACACGUGUCUUCUGAAGGGAGAAUCGACGGUUUCACAUAGUGUAGACCCCCACAUUUAUUUAAAGGAUAAGACGUAUUUAUUUUUUCUUACAUGGACCCACCACGAUGGGAAAAACAAAAAUAUCAUUAGUCUUAUUCUAAGCUUUGAUUAAUCAUUCAUUCCUUUCCUUUCCUUCUGUCGGCUUUAAAGUUUACCCCUAACACCAUUUUUAUCAAAUUAACCAUCUUGAACCACUGUAAUUUGAUCUUUUCCCAAGUGCUUUACUAUACGAUUAAACGAGUGAAAUAAUGUUCAUAUAUUGCAUAUGUAAUAACCAGGUGUACUUCGGUCGGAUACGUGUCACUAGAGAUGUUGUAGUCACCCACCCACGUGUUCUCACUGAAAUCAAACUCAUCCUCGUGUUAGUUAGUAUGGAUAACUCUCGAGUCACGGCAUGCAGCAUACUUGUGCCAACCUUAAACCUAACUAUUGUUGUAUCUUAAGUCCAGUAAGUGAGCCCCAGCUAAUUUGACCAGAAAAGAUUAUGAAUAAGAAGAUCGAAGCUUCAAAAUUAGUUACUUUACAAAAUAUCCAGCAAGCAUAUAACUCUCGAAUAAAUAAAUAAACCAAUUCAUAUGAACAUUUAAACGCAUACAUAUGUUUUGGUUAUAUCCCCUUUUUUCUUCUUCCUUCCUGUUCUCUGACCGUAACAGAGAUGGAUCUGCUGAGAAGAAGAAGCUGACUUACAUGUCAGCAUUGAUGCCGAAGAUGCGAACCUUGUGCAUGUUAGGGAACUUGGCGACAACAAGAACCAUGAGAGCGAGUGUGUUGAGCAACAGCCAUGGAUGUCUGUAAUCUGUUGUAUGUGAUGCUAUCAAGUACCUGCAUUUGUUUUUUACAAAGAAAAUGUAUAUCAUUAAAGAUUGUUCGAUUAAAACCACAAGAAAACUUAUCUAUAAUGUCAGAUACAAAGUGACAGAAGAGAAGAUAAAGAGCUAAAUCUCAAAGCUCAUCAACUCAAAAACUAGAAGGUUAGUUUGAGUUCUCCAGAGUAAGGCCUAGGUUUAAGAUUGCGGGAAUAUAAAUGAGUCUUAAGGUUUACUCCAUUCAAAAGAGAAUGCAAUUAAUAAAUAAACAGAAACAGAGGGACAUACAGGACAAUGGGAACGACGGUGAGGAACUUGCGGUUGCUGGUAAGUUGCUGACCGUUGUCCAUCUGUUCCCACCAGGUGAGAGCAUUGUAGAUGCCUUGGUCUUCCCCAAAAGGAGUUCCUUUCAUCCAGUGGAAGCUGUGAUAAGUUACCUGUGUGAUGAUACCACACCAAAAUAAUUAUGCUCUCUACUCAAAACUGGCCUUUAAAAAUUGCAUCUUUAAUUAAAAAGUCUGAUAAACUCGACGACAUUGCUAUAACUGAUAAUAUCAAUUCACAAUCGCAAUCAACUCAAAAAAAAAAGGUAUGAUAACCAAACUAAUCAAUAACCAAAACUGAGAAACUCGUAACCAGAUUCAAAUCCAGCAAUCCCUAUUGAAGAGCGUACACAAUGGCAAAUAUUGUUAAAGAAGGAGGCAGCUUACAAGGAAGUGGGAGAGAUUAACAACGGUCCAAGCCAUCCCAGGGGAACAGCCAGAGACGGAGAGAACAGCUAGCCACCCGAAGAAGAUUAUCAGUAUAUAAGUCGUCCACACCCCUGGAUACAUGAACCACUCCGUGUUCCUGUUCAUAUCCGGCGGCGCCACCGCUUUCACAUACAGUUUCGCCAUCUCCUUUUUCUUUUUCCCCCUCGGAUCCAAAUCUAAGAAGAUAUUUCGAGACGACGAUUGAUUGAUUGAUUCUCCGAUCAAAAGGAGGAAGCUUAUUUGGAAACUCACAACUCUCUCUCUCUUUCCAGAUCUUCGGUUUAGUUUAAUUUAAUUUUGUGAAAGACGACUACUGCCUUUUAAGCAUGAAACGGUGGCGUUUAGUUCCUACUUGAGCAUUUGACAAAACGGUGGCGUUUAGUUCCUACUUUGGAAUUUUAACGACAAACUAAACGGAUUAUGGAGUGUUCCAAGUUAUUGGACUUGCAGUUUUGUUACACUAUAAUCCAUCACAAUACACUCCAUAACAUGAUUCACGACGCCAUCAACACUUGACUCAAAUGAUCAUAUAGUCACCUAACAAACUCGGUAUCAGAAUCUUCUUCCUCUUCUUCUUCUUCUUCUUCUUCUUCUUCAACUUGCUCAAUGCUCUUCACGUCAAGGUUGAGAGCCAAAUCCUCAACGGACACCUUCACCACAUCCCUUCUAACUCCAAUAUCAGUCGCAUACCUGCUCAUACAAUACAUUCCAGCUGUCACCGUCGCCACACCUAUGGGGUUUGGAAUCAGCAGACUGAAAGGAGAAGAGAGUACUGCAGCCAAAGGAGCACCGACAAUCGAUGAAGCUUGACCGCUUCUCCCUACACCCAGCUUAUCCAUUAUAAGCAACCCUGUCUUGCAGUAGAGCGCGAAAUCCUCGCAGUUGUUCUUGAAAAUGUCGUAGUUUCCGAAUCCGUUUUGGAGAAGGUACAUUGCCCUGUGGAUGACUGAAUCAGUCGGGUCUGAUUGCGCGGUUGUGCAGGUGCCUCCGCGGACUUUGGUGAGGAAAACUGAUGGGCUGACUCCGUAUUCGAAGCAGUAGAGCGAGCCGUUCUUGAGGAAACAGUCCAAACAAGAAAGGACCACUCCGCUGUUUGGUUGUCUGAAACCACAAUCUGGAAACGUUGGGCAGAUGUCUUCAGUGGAAGAAGAAGCUGAGGUGAAUGACUCCAUGGGAGAAGAAGAAGAUGAAGAAUUAAGGUUGUGCUCAGGUCUGAAAUGAACAACCUUGGAUCCACCGACAAAGAUUCCUGCAAUAAAUGUUUCCUCUCAACCAAUUAAAUUAAAGCUCAACAGAGUUCGAUGGCGUGUCUAAAACAGUAUCCAAUCCAAUCAUCAACAGAGGAAUAUACAGAUAAAGUCAAUGAGAUUUCACACUAAGUAGAGAUUAAACAAAGUCAAAAGCUUUUUCU